rnacentral:rRNA from 1 species
AGAGUUUGAUUAUGGCUCAGGAUGAACGCAGCGACAGGCUAACACAUGCAAGUCGAGGGGCAGCAUAAAAGUAGCAAUACUUGGUGGCGACCGGCGCACGGGUGAGUAACGCGUAUGCAACCUACCUAUCAGAGGGGAAUAACCCGGCGAAAGUCGGACUAAUACCGCAUAAAACAGGGGCACCGCAUGGUGAUAUUUGUUAAAGAAAUUCGCUGAUAGAUGGGCAUGCGUUCCAUUAGGUAGUUGGUGAGGUAACGGCUCACCAAGCCGACGAUGGAUAGGGGAACUGAGAGGUUGGUCCCCCACACUGGUACUGAGACACGGACCAGACUCCUACGGGAGGCAGCAGUGAGGAAUAUUGGUCAAUGGGCGGGAGCCUGAACCAGCCAAGUCGCGUGAAGGAAAGAAGGAUCUAUGGUUCGUAAACUUCUUUUGCAGGGGAAUAAAGUGCAGGACGUGUCCUGUUUUGUAUGUACCCUGAGAAUAAGGAUCGGCUAACUCCGUGCCAGCAGCUGC